rnacentral:rRNA from 1 species
AGAGUUUGUAUCCUGGCUCAGGAUGAACGCUGGCGGCGUGCCUAACACAUGCAAGUCGAGCGAUUUACUUCGGUAAAGAGCGGCGGACGGGUGAGUAACGCGUGGGUAACCUGCCCUGUACACACGGAUAACAUACCGAAAGGUAUGCUAAUACGAGAUAAAAUACUUUUAUCGCAUGGUAGAAGUAUCAAAGUUUUUGCGGUACAGGAUGGACCCGCGUCUGAUUAGCUAGUUGGUAAGGUAACGGCUUACCAAGGCGACGAUCAGUAGCCGACCUGAGAGGGUGAUCGGCCACAUUGGAACUGAGACACGGUCCAAACUCCUACGGGAGGCAGCAGUGGGGAAUAUUGCACAAUGGGCGAAAGCCUGAUGCAGCAACGCCGCGUGAGUGAUGAAGGCCUUCGGGUCGUAAAGCUCUGUCCUCAAGGAAGAUAAUGACGGUACUUGAGGAGGAAGCCCCGGCUAACUACGUG